GGCGAUUUGGCAGAUUAGUGCAUUAAAUUUAGAAUUUAGUUAAGUAUAUUUUCUAUACAUUUGUCA
rnacentral:tRNA from 1 species